CAAAGGAGAUGCAAAUGUCAGUGGUUGGUCGAGCCCGUCAGUCUUUUCUGAAGGCGAAGAUGAUGCAGAUAGCCUAAUGAGAAGGGCUGCUCUUAAUGCAAAGAACCAUGGACCGCAAAAAACCUCUUUGUGUGAAAGUUAUGAUGCUCGUGAACUAUAUUCUGCUCAAUCAAAUAUUGGCAAAUUCAAUAGCAGCGACUCAGCUUCAGUACCCGCAACUAAAGCUACAAGAUCAUUCUUCUCCCUCUCAGCAUUCAGGGGCGGUGCGAAAUAAGAUCAUGUUUGUUCACUUCUACUGCUUCUAGCGACGAGUAUUAAGUUAGCGUUAAUGGUGAAAAUUUGCCUUCGUUUAGAGAAAAGCAAAAUUUCAACUUUUUGCUGCCCCAUCGGCCACGGUUUGUAUUGUUCCUGGUGCAGAGAAAAGAUGUUAUUCAAAUAUAUUUCCGUUGUUCUUUUAAUUUUUAUUUCUUUUUCCCAUUUCAUGUCCUGGGUUGUACAUUCAA